ensembl:lncRNA
GGAAGAUCUCCUGGAGAAGGAAAUGGCAACCCACUCCAGUAUCCUUGCCUGGGAAAUUCCAUGGACAGAGGAGCAUUGUGGGCUAUAGUCCAUGAGGUCACAAAGCGCCAGACAUGACUUAGCAACUAAACAACAACAACCCAGUCUUCAUGCACCUGUAUGGCUCCUCACACUUGAAAAGGGCUGACUGUAUAAUAAUAAAACAUUGCACAAAUGAUAAAGCUCAACUUCCAGAGAUAGGUCAUAAAAGACAUUGUACCUUCUGCUUUGCUGUCUGCUUGAUCACUCAUCCUGGGGGAAGCCAGCUGCCAUGUCAAGAGGACACUCAAGUAGCCCCAAGGGAGAUCCAUGUGGCAAAGAACUAAGGCUCCUACCAACAGCCACGUGAGGGACUCAUCUCAGAAGUGGAUUUCCAGCUCCAGUUUAGCUUAAAGAGACCGCAGCCCCAGGCAGCAUUUUAACUACGAUCUCAUGACAGGUCCUGAGCCAGAACCAUCUACCUAAGCCACUCUUGAACUCUUGACCUGAACAGAAACUAUGAUCAGUUCUGUACUCAUUUUACUUCAGCCAACCCAGAACUGGGCAACCACUAUGUAGCAAGCAAUCUGUUAGACACCGAAGACACAAAGGGUCAAGUUUCAGCCUUUGGCUCAGAAGUCCUUUUUGGAGACAGACAAGCAAACAGGCUUCAAACAUUUUGUGGGACAUUACAAAACUCACGUCCUCUGUGCCCAUGGAACUUCAUGACUCAAACAACCGUGACUGAGGGGCCAGGCUCGCUGGCACUGUGAUGCAAGAGGAAGGACAGAGCGAAAGAGGAUAAGUGAGGAAGAUGAGAACAGGGCAAACCCUCUUAAACCCUGCUCAUCGCACUUAGCUCGCUGACGGUAACUGCCCAAAUACUACUCUACAAGGACUCAAGGAUACUCUCUUCCCAAAGCAAGUUUUUGGUUUUUUAAAGAUGGAGGGAAGAAGGUCCCAGGAAGGCAAAAAUACCUAAUGGCCAGGAAAAUCAUCUGUCCCUAUUUCUCUCAUCAUCCUACUCUUAUUAUUCUGGGUAGAAAAUGUGCUUCAAAACUCGUUUAAGCCGCUAUUAUAAGAUGGAUAUAGUGCUAUGCAGAUUGAAAUCUAAAGAAGAGGAAGAGAGGCUCUUUGAACUCAGGGGGGAAAUCAAGAAACAUGGAAGAAAAAGAGUAAAGAGAUGGAAUAAUCAGAGAGAAGUACUGUUUCCUAAAAAAACUGAUGAUGUGGGAUUUUCCUAACACAUGAUCCCAGCGUGCUGAACUCUGCGUGUCUGCAGGAAAGUGACACAGCACUGUGGCACCAGAUCCAGUUCUGAAGGCAGGAGCCUGAAGCUAAAAAAAAAAAAAUUUAAAUAUUCAGUUGAUAAGACAUAAAGCAGUAAAGGUAUGACUUUUCCUCUUGAUACAUUUGUAUCAUGUCAGAGUUAAUCUUGAUUUUGCCAAGACUCCUAAUAUAUAAGCUCAAAAGAGAAACAGUAACAUGUAAAAUGUAAAUCAUCAGUGAGUAUUCAGAUAAAAUUUCAACCACUUGGGCAAACAAGAAAAUAGAAAGAAAUGAUCAGAACACUUCUAUAAGCGUUCUGUCAACUCCAGGGUGGAGUGCUAGCUAUAGCUUAUCUCUAGGGGAUGGAAUUAUAAGUUAUUUUAUCUUUGUUUUGCUUACCUCUCUAUUUUCUUCUGUU